rnacentral:tRNA from 1 species
GCCUGGGUGGCUCAGUCAGUUAAGCGUCUGACUUCAGCUCAGGUCAUGAUCUCACGGUUCAUGGGUUCGAGCCCCAUGUUGGGCU